UACAGAGGUCCCAAGCGUUGUUCGGAUUCAUUGGGCGUAAAGGGUGCGUAGGCGGCGCGGGAAGUCGGGUGUGAAAUCUCCGGGCUUAACCCGGAAAUGGCAUUGAAUACUAUUGAGCUGGAGGUUUGGAGGGGGGACUGGGAAUUCGUCGGUGUAGCAGUGAAAUGCGUAGAUAUCGAGAGGAACACCAGUGGCGAAGGCGAGUCCCUGGACAACACCUGACACUGAGGCACGAAAGCUAGGGGAGCAAACAGG
rnacentral:rRNA from 1 species